rnacentral:rRNA from 1 species
ACACGUAGGCACCAAGCGUUGUCCGGAUUUAUUGGGCGUAAAGAGCUCGUAGGCGGUUCAGUAAGUCGGGUGUGAAAACUCUGGGCUCAACCCAGAGACGCCACCCGAUACUGCUGUGACUUGAGUACGGUAGGGGAGUGGGGAAUUCCUGGUGUAGCGGUGAAAUGCGCAGAUAUCAGGAGGAACACCAGUGGCGAAGGCGCCACUCUGGGCCGUAACUGACGCUGAGGAGCGAAAGCGUGGGUAGCAAACAG